UGCAAGUCGAGCGGUAAGGCCCUUCGGGGUACACGAGCGGCGAACGGGUGAGUAACACGUGGGUAAUCUGCCCUGCACUCUGGGAUAAGCCCGGGAAACUGGGUCUAAUACCGGAUAUGACCACUUCAGGCAUCUGUUGUGGUGGAAAGUUCCGGCGGUGCAGGAUGAACCCGCGGCCUAUCAGCUUGUUGGUGGGGUAAUGGCCUACCAAGGCGACGACGGGUAGCCGGCCUGAGAGGGCGACCGGCCACACUGGGACUGAGACACGGCCCAGACUCCUACGGGAGGCAGCAGUGGGGAAUAUUGCGCAAUGGGCGAAAGCCUGACGCAGCGACGCCGCGUGAGGGAUGACGGCCUUCGGGUUGUAAACCUCUUUCAGCAGGGACGAAGCGUAAGUGACGGUACCUGCAGAAGAAGCACCGGCCAACUACGUGCCAGCAGCCGCGGUAAUACGUAGGGUGCGAGCGUUGUCCGGAAUUAUUGGGCGUAAAGAGCUCGUAGGCGGUUUGUUGCGUCGGCCGUGAAAACUCAGGGCUUAACUCUGAGCCUGCGGUCGAUACGGGCAGACUUGAGUUCGGUAGGGGAGACUGGAAUUCCUGGUGUAGCGGUGAAAUGCGCAGAUAUCAGGAGGAACACCGGUGGCGAAGGCGGGUCUCUGGGCCGAUACUGACGCUGAGGAGCGAAAGCGUGGGGAGCGAACAGGAUUAGAUACCCUGGUAGUCCACGCCGUAAACGUUGGGCGCUAGGUGUGGGGGACUUUCCACGUUCUCCGUGCCGCAGCUAACGCAUUAAGCGCCCCGCCUGGGGAGUACGGCCGCAAGGCUAAA
rnacentral:rRNA from 1 species